UGGGGAAUAUUGGGCAAUGGGCGAAAGCCUGACCCAGCAACGCCGCGUGGUGGAUGAAGGCCUUAGGGUUGUAAACACCUUUUAUUAGGGAAGAUAGUGACUGUACCUAAUGAAUAAGCAUCGGCUAACUUCGUGCCAGCAGCCGCGGUAAUACGAAGGAUGCUAGCGUUACUCGGAAUUACUGGGCGUAAAGAAUGCGUAGGCGGAUAAUUAAGUUGAUAGUGUAAUCCCCAAGCUUAACUUAGGAAUUGCUAUCAAAACUGAUUUUCUAGAAUGCGGGAGAGAGUAAGGGAAUUCUUGGUGUAGGGGUAAAAUCCGUAGAUAUCAGGAGGAAGACCGGAAGCGAAAGCGCUUACUUGGACCGUUAUUGACGCUGAGGCAUGAA
rnacentral:rRNA from 1 species